rnacentral:rRNA from 1 species
UACGUAGGGGGGCAAGCGUUUGUCCGGAUUUAUUGGGCGUAAAGAGCGUGUAGGCGGCCCGGUAAGUCCGCUGUGAAAAGUCGGGGGGCUCAACCCUCGAAUGCCGGUGGAUACUGUCGGGCUAGAGUCCGGAAGAGGCGAGUGGAAUUCCCCGGUGUAGCGGUGAAAUGCGCAGAUAUCGGGAGGAACACCAAUGGCGAAGGCAGCUCGCUGGGGACGGUACUGACGCUGAGACGCGAAAAGCAUGGGGAGCGAAACAGG